GUGGGGACAAUGGGGAUGAUGGACAUAGGGACGAUGGGGACAAUGGACGUGGGGAUGAGGUGAUGGGGACGAUGGACGUGGGGACGGUGGGGAUAAUGGACGUGGGGAUGGUGGGGUUGAUGGAUGUGGGGAUGACGGUGACAGUGGAUGUGGGGAUGAGGUGAUGGGGACGAUGGACGUGGGGUUGGUGGGAACAACGUAGGUGGAGGUGAUGGAGAUAGAGAUGAGGAUGAGGAUGAAGGGGAUGGAGAUGAUGAGGAUGGUGGGGUGGAGAUGAGAUGAGGAUGAUGUGGAUGAUGGGGAUGGAGAUGAUGAAGAUGAGGAUGGCGGGGAUGGAGAUGAUGAGGAUGAUGAGUCUGAUGGGGAGGGAAAUGAUGGAGAUGGGGACAAUAGGGAUGGAGAUGAAGAUGAUGAUGAGGACAGUGGGGUUGGAGGUGAUUAAGAUGAUGGGGAGGGGGAUGGAGGUGAUGAAGUUGAUGAAAACGAUGGGGAUGGAGAUGAUGGAGAUUAUGAGGAUGGAGAUGAAGAUGGUGAGGAUGAUGGGGAGGGGGAUGGAGGUGAUGGAGAUGAUGAAAACAGUGGGGCUGGAAAUGAUGGAGAUGGGGACAAGGGGGAUGGAGAUGAUGGAGAUGAUGGAGGGGGGAUAGAGAUGAGAUAAAGAUGAUGUGGGCAGUAGGGAUGGAGAUGAUGAUGAGGUCAGUGGGGAUGGAGAUGAUGAAGAUGGGGACAAGUGGGGGCAAUGGAGGUGGAGGUGAUGACGAUGGGGACAACGGGGAUGGAGAUGAUGGAGAUGAUGAGAAUGGAGAUGAUGAUGGGGAUGGAGAUGAUGAGGACAGUGAGGGCAGUGGAGGUGGAGGUGAUGAAGAUGAUGAGGACAACGGGGAUGGAAAUGAUGGAGAUGGGGACCAUGGGGGUGGAGGUGAUGAGGAUGACGGGGAGGGGAUGGAGAUGACGGAGGUUGAUGAGAAUGGAGGUGAUGAUGAGGACGAUGGGGAUGGAGGUGAUGAAGAUGGGGACCAUGGGGGUGGUGGAGGUGGAGGUGAUGAGGACGAUGGGGACAGUGGGGAUGGGCAUGGAGAUAACGAAGACGAUGAGGACGAUGAUGAGGACAGUGAUGAGGAUGGAGAUAACAAAGAUGACGAGGAUGAUGAUGGGGACAGUGGGGGUGGGGAUGGAGAUAACGAUGAUGAGGACGAUGAUGGGGAUGGCUGGGAUGGAGAUAACGAAGACAGUGAGGAUGAUGAUGGGGACAGCGGGAUGGAGAUAACGGAGACGAUGAGGACUGGGGAUGGAGAUAACGAAGAUGAUGAGGACAAUGAUGGGGACAGUGGGGAUGGAGAUAACGAAGACAAUGAGGUUGAUGAGAGGACAUUGAGGGUGGGGAUGGAGAUAACGACGGUGAGGAUGAUGAUGGGGACAGUGGGGAUGGAGAUAAUGAAGAUGAUGAGGAUGGCGAUGGGGACAGUGAUGGGGAUGGAGAUAACGGAGACAAUGAUGAUGAGGACAGUGGGGAUGGAGAUAACAGAGACGGUGAGGAUGAUGAUGGGAACAGUGAUGGGGAUGGAGAUAACGGAGGUGAUGAGGACAAUGAUGGGUACAGCUGGGAUGGAGAUAACAAAGAUGAGGAUGGUGAUGGGGACAGUGGGGAUGGAGAUAACGAAGACAAUGAGGAUGAUGAUGGAGGAUGAUGAUGGAGACAGUAGGGAUGGAGAUAACAAAGACGAUGAGGAUGAUGAUGGGGACAUUGGGGGUGGGGAUGGAGAUAAUGAUGAUGAGGACGAUGAUGGGGACAGUGAUGGGGAUGGAGAUAACGAAGACAAUGAGGAUGAUGAUGAGGACAUUGGGGGUGGGGAUGGAGAUAACGACGGUGAGGAUGAUGAUGGGGACAGUGGGGACGGAGAUAACGAAGACGACGAGGACGAUGAUGGGGACAGCGGGGGUGGGGAUGGAGAUAACGACGAUGAGGACGAUGAUGGGGACAGUGGGGAUGGAGAUAAUGACGAUGAUGAGGAUGGUGAUGGGGACAGUGAUGGUGAUGCAGUGACGGUGACACUGACAGUGACACAGUGGCAGUGA
rnacentral:lncRNA from 1 species